UAAAUCUUGUGUGUGUGCGUGCAUGUGUGUGUGCACGUGUGUGUGCGCAUGUGUGAAUGUGUGUGUAUGCGGGUGAAUGUGUGCGUGUGCACGUGUGUGUGCACGCAUGUGUGUGCGCGUGUGUUUGCAUGCAUGUGUGUGUGGUUGUCUGUGCACGUGUGUGUGCAUGUGCGUGUGUAUGUGUAUGCAUGUGCAUCUGUGUGUGCAUGUGCGUGUGCGUGCGUGUGUGUGUGUGUGUGUGUAGUAUGCAUGCAUGUGCCUCUGCAUUUCCUAGGUCUGUUUGCUAGAAAAGCCUGGAAGCAAUGACAUUCCUGUGUUAGUUUUUGGUUUCUAAAGAUCACUCUCCACUUAAAUGAACCAGAGAUCUUUGAGAAAAGUCUUCUCCAGGGUUGGGAUGGAGUAACACAAAUUGAGUCUGGAACAUCCUAUGGUGCCAGAAAGAAAGGAAGCCAUUAAUAAUGAUUUUAAUAUGAAUAUUUAUCUCAACAGAAUCAUAGAGUCAGCUUGGAGGAGCUCCUACUGGCCAAAUCUGAGGCAAUUUGGCCAUCAAGCAUGUAAAGGUCGUAAUGAGCUCAGUGGAUCAAAUAAGUUUCUGUAACUCUACACUAAUGUACAUACAUGUACACGUGCAUAUAUCUUCAAUGCAACCACACUAUCAUACAUUCACAUUUACAUACAUAAGUAGGAGAGGAGGCAAAAGUCUCUUCCCUACAGUGGAAUGCCAUCUUAUAAAUUUAGAAAGAAUAGUGAGUUAGAAAAUUACCAGUGGAUGCUAAUUCUAGUGAGUGAAAAUUUGAUGAGACACAGAAUAUGCACAUAGUAACUAUCUCCCUACAAAUGACUUAUCAAUUAUAAAGAAAGAAACAAUAAUAUCACAAUGCUGAAACCUGGCAAAAACCAAACGAUCAAACUGACAUCAUUUAUGCUGCAACAAAGAUCAUGGCUUCCCAAACUUAGACACAUGUUUUUUUUUUCGGAUUCUUCCUAUUAAUAAUGCACAAUCUGAAUCUUAUCAUGAGGAAACAUCAGAUAAACCCAAAUUGAGAGACUUUAUGCAAAGUAACCAGCCUGUAAUUUUCAAAAAGUUUAAGGUUAUGAAAGAAAGAAAAGCUGAGAAACUCAGUGUAAUAGAGGCUAAAGAGAUUCGGCAAUAAAAUGCAAAGCAUUAUCCUGAAUUGGAUCCUGGACUGGGAAAACAAUUGUGACAAAAGACACAAUUGGGGUAAGAAUAAAAAUUUGAAUAAGAACUGUGGGUUAUAGUAUUGUAUCCAUUUGAAAUUUCUAAUUUUAAUAAUUGUAGUGUGUUUUUGUAAAAACAAGGUAUUUGUUCUUAAGAAAUAUACACUGAUGUAUUUAGGGGUAAAAAGCAAAUUAUUACCAAUUUAUUCUCAAUUGAUAUAGAAAAAAUAUGCAUAUAUAAAAAUAAAUAAAUCAUUGGUCAAUCGGGCUAAAGGAUAUGUGAAAGUUCCUUGUAUUAUUCUUGAAACUAUUCUAUAGAUUUGAAUUUGUGUAAAAUCAAGAUUAAAUCCCCAGUUAAUUAUAAUACUCCCUUAAAAAAUCAUCUUCUGAUGCACAUUCUCACUCCUUGCCACUGGCUUCAGCAGCAAGCACUCACAUUUACUUUGUUUCCCCAGAAACAUCUGUUCUCUGGUUCCCUGGUCUCCACAGUACCAGUGGGGUUGAAUUUGAGUUUCUAGUUUCAAAAAUCAAACUGGGGUUAUUCAAAGCCAUGAGGAUAGGAUCAAAUAACUUCCUUCAUCAUAAAGUUAUUGCCACAAAGCCUUUUUGCAACGGUUUCAUUUUCCAGCCCUUUUAUUGUAUUAGAUCCUGCAUGAUUGUUUUAACUGCUCAGCUGCAUAUUGUCUGUCAUAUCUCUUAAAAAUACUUUAAAGAUAUUUCACUCUGUCCAAGUCCUGCUACAUCUAACCUUCCUUUAAUUUCCCUGCAGGAUAUUGGGAAGCUUGAAGGGUGUUAGAAGACUAACCUUUCAGCAGGACCAAUUUGAAAUAUUAAUGCUGCAUUCAUCAUU
rnacentral:lncRNA from 10 species